UGGGGGAUAUUGCACAAUGGGCGAAAGCCUGAUGCAGCGACGCCGCGUGGGGGAUGAAGGCUUUCGGGUUGUAAACCUCUUUCGCUAUCGAACAAGGCCCGCUUAGGGUGGGUUGAGGGUAGGUGGAGAAGAAGCGCCGGCUAACUACGUGCCAGCAGCCGCGGUAAUACGUAGGGCGCGAGCGUUGUCCGGAAUUAUUGGGCGUAAAGGGCUUGUAGGCGGCUUGUUGCGCCUGCUGUGAAAACGCGGGGCUUAACUUCGCGCGUGAAGUGGGUACGGGCAGGCUUGAGUGUGGUAGGGGUGACUAGAAUUCCAGGUGUAGCGGUGGAAUGCGCAGAUAUCUGGAGGAACACCGAUGGCGAAGGCAGGUCACUGGGCCAUUACUGACGCUGAGGAGCGAAAGCAUGGGUAGCGAACAGG
rnacentral:rRNA from 1 species